rnacentral:lncRNA from 10 species
GAAGGGAUGAAGGUCCAUCUUCUAUAACUUCUUUAAGCUGAAUCCAGGUGUUGAUAUGGGACCCAUUAGAGCAGUGAAAUCUUUCCUAGCUAGUCUUGGGUAGGUCUAGUUAUCUCCUGGGUAUAAGCCUAGCUGUUCAUAUUGCUAUAUGGCCUCAACUUGCUUAGACACAAAAGAAACAAGGCAGUUUAAGAAACGGGGCCCAAAGAUCAAGAGAAGUAGGAUAUCAGCUAAAGUGCCCAGGAAGGCACAACAGGAAGUGUUGGUGACUACACACACCCUACCUUGUUCUGCCAAGAGGUCAUCAAGAGCCGGAUGGUUAUAACGCACGAUAUUGGCUGGGGUAGACUCUGGAUGAAACAAGGUGACUCCAAGAGCAAAGCUUAGAAUACCUGAAUACCUGCAAGCAAGACAAGUAGAUUAAGUCCUGACAGAAAAGUAUACGCGGGCCCAAGCUAUUUUUAGCCUCUGUGGACAGCUCCAUAGGGAGAAUGAACUAUUCGUCAACGUCACCCAUAUUUUACUGAAGAUUUUGAAGGUAUUCCAAUGUGACUGACUACUACGUUUCCUCACAUGUGUGCUGCUGUAUCUGAGAUCACCAUGUUUUCAAUUAUCUCAUAUGAACCGGUUUCUGUUCAGAAAAAAUCCUUC